AUUCCAGCUCCAAUAGCGUAUAUUAAAGUUGUUGCAGUUAAAAAGCUCGUAGUUGGAUUUCUGGGAGGGUGCCAAUGUCCGCCGAGUGCGUGCGCAGCGGCGCCCUUCCAUCCUUCUGUUAACGCCUCUUGGCAUUCAUUUGCUGGUGGCGGGCUCAGAUAUUUUACCUUGAGAAAAUUAGAGUGUUUCAGGCAGGCUAGGCCGGAAUACAUUAGCAUGGAAUAAUGGAAUAGGACUACGGUCUCUUUGUUGGUUUGAGGGACUGCAGUAAUGAUUAAUAGGGAUAGUUGGGGGCAUUAGUAUUUAAUUGUCAGAGGUGGAAUUCUCGGAUUUGUUAAAGACUAACUUAUGCGAAAGCAUUUGCCAAGGAUGUUUUCAUCA
rnacentral:rRNA from 1 species